CAAUAGCGUAUAUUAAAGUUGUUGCAGUUAAAAAGCUCGUAGUUGGAUCUCGGGUCCAGGCUUGUGGUGCAGCUUAGGCUGCUGACUGCUCGUCCUGACCUCCCUCCCGGUUUUCCCUUGGUGCUCUUAAGUGAGUGUCUUGGGUGGCCGGAACGUUUACUUUGAAAAAAUUAGAGUGCUCAAAGCAGGCUUUCGCCUGAAUAUUAGUGCAUGGAAUAAUAGAAUAGGACUCGUUUCUAUUUUGUUGGUUUGUUAGGAAUGAGUAAUGAUUAAGAGGGACAGAUGGGGGCAUUUGUAUUACGAGGCUAGAGGUGAAAUUCUUAGAUUCUCGUAAGACAAACUGCUGCGAAAGCGUCUGCCAAGGAUGUUUUCAUUGA
rnacentral:rRNA from 1 species